UCGGUCAUUAUCCCUCAUGAUUGUGAGCUGGUGAAAUAUCUUCAUCCAAAUUCAACAAAGCAAAUGGUCGAUCAAACUCAAUAAAUCAUGGUAGAAUAUUAUGAAAAUAUUCUUCGAUCCUUAGCCCUAAUUCCGGAUUCUUCGAUCUCCUGUCUUUUACUCUCAAUCAACAAUGUCAGACAAGUGUGGAAACUGCAACUGCGCAGCCAGUGUGUGAAGAAGGGAAACUAAUAUGGUGUUGAGAUGAUUGAUUCUGAGUACUCGGAAUUCAUGAUGAUGAAAGGUGCCGAGAAUGGUUGCAUGUGCAAGUGCAGCAGCAGCUGCAGUUGUCACUGAGCAUCUGCAGCCGAGAAUGGCUGCAUGAGCAACUGCGGCUGUCACUGAGCAUCUGCAACUCACCUAUUGUAGCUGAAAUGAUCUUAGGACAUAUUUAAGAUAUAGUACUUGAAUAGGAGACAUAUACCUAUAUAAAAUAACAAAGUUUUAUCCUCACCUGAGGAGCAUCCUCGUGUUCUGUAAUGUACCAUUUAUGUU